rnacentral:rRNA from 1 species
GUGCGCGUCGCGCCAUUUGCGGGAGCGUGGGUAGCCAUGCCCUCGAAAGCACCUUGGUCCAAUCCCAUCGCCCCGCACGCCACAACCCCUCCCUCCUUCUUCGAUCUCUCUCCCUCCUCAGCCGCCACAAACCCUAGCCCCCUUUCCUACGAUCCAGCUGUCGCUACCCCUCCUCCAUCCGACCUCCGUCGUCAGCCGCCGCCGCCGCUACGGCUCCUCCGUCCACCGACUCCGUCCGUGCAGGUGGCCAGUUUCCUUCCGCCCCGACCUUCUCCACUGUCUCCCCAGUUCACCCCCACCCCUUGCUGCCCGAGGUGCCCAUCUUUCCAGGUCAUGAGGAAGCCGCGUGAGGAUGUCUCCACGGUAAUCGGGGAACCACCACGGCGUGCCGCCGGGGGAAGCCUUGGAUCCAGGGGGCCUCCCCGGGGGCGCAGAGGAGGGGGUGUGGAGGCGUGAGGCCAGAAGGAGUUUGGAAUCGCUGGAGGAGCACAGCCCGCACGGGGGCUGGUCAUCGCCAGAGCAGAGGGGAGGAGGUCGAUGCAGGGGACGCCAUGUAUGGUCGGGGCGCUGGAUCUGCCUUUCCCCAUGCCACCGCUGUCCUACGUCAACGAUGCCGCCAUGGCCUUCUCGCCACUGACCUCUUUCCACGAAUUUUUGCCUUCAACGCUAAGGGACGGUCUGUAGGCUAGCGGUAGUGGAAUGGAAUCCCCUUGUCCAGUACCAGCCGGUGAAGAUGGAAGGAAGCCACGGAACCUCAAGGCUUAGGAACUUUUUGGGAUAACUGAGUUGGUCAAUGUCAAAAAUGGAAAAGGAGAAGGAAAUCACCAUUCGAUUUAUGAUUGGGCGUAGGUUGGAGGCAUUGGUGUGAAGGUGUCGUGAGUUAUCUGCAAGGGCAUUGUUGUGACGUGCUCCUCCAUAUCUCCUGCGAGUUCUUGGUGUGGCGAUCAUGGCUCUAGAUAGCAGCGCUUCAAGGUCACUUAAGCCUGAAUGAGUUAUCAAGUCUACUGGAACCAUUCAUGUUUAGGCUUGUUCAUUGGUUUUCGAACAGACACUCCCUUAAGUAUGUUUGAUCACAAUUAAAAGGAGGAAGUCAGAUUAUUGCAAUGUGUGGCUGCACGUAAAGUUGUCAAGAUGAUCUGGUGCUUGCUCGAGCCGUUGAUUACUGCUGCUUUGCUAAGGUUCAAGGUUGCUUAAGAAGGUGCAGUACACUACAUCGCUACACUCUAUAGUAAUGGAUUGCUGGAGAAGGGUGCAGUACACUGAUGCCAUACUGUGUUACACUGGUGCCAUUUCCAAGCUAGUUCAAAGCCAUUAUUAUUCCUCAGAUGGCGCAAUGGAAUAUGGCCAUUUAUAUUUCUUAUUUGUUAACAGUGUUGUGUACUGUAGAUGAAUUAUUGAUUAAACCUGAAUGUCGCUGACUCGACAGGACAGUGGUAGCGACAUGUUUAACACCAGGUGUUGCAGCUACUCUCUGAUUACAAAGGAUGUUUAGAAUCAGAACAAAACUAGGUAUUGUGUCUUGUGGCAUGCUGAGACUUUCAAGAAAGAGGUCCUUAUCAGAGAAGCAUUCUCUUCUUACAACUGAUGUAUGAUAUGAUUCAGUCCAAUCGUUAUUUCUCUGGGGCAUCGACAAUGUAAGCAUGUUCGAUUCAUUACCAUAUGUUUUCCUCUGAGAUGCUUCCGUCUGCUAGAUAACAUUUUUUGGUCAUGUUGCAUCACAUGGCUUGAGCAAGUAACACUUAUUUUCUACUUUUAACUCCGUACUAAUGCCUUCUUGGUUAUCUUUUAUGUUGAAACUGCAUAAUGCAGUAAGCAAUACCCAUGGCAAGUCUCUCUGUUAUGGAAGGUCCACCAACCAUAGCGUCAACUCUUAGAUUCUUUCACAUGGCAUGAAUUCUUUUCUACAAAGUGGAUCCUGUUUUUCUUUAGGUGACAAUGCAUGCUGGUUCUUUUCACUUGGAGAAAGAUUAACUCUGGAAGGCAGUAUUUUCUUUGGAUUCUUCCACUCUCCUUUUCAUGGUGCCACUAUUGACAUUCAGUUUCUGAAGCAAGUCAUUCCCUAUAUAAUGUAUUUAGGCAUCUUGCAUUUGCACAUAAUUUGUACCAGCAAUUCGUGACUCUAAGAAAUGUAGUGGUACCUUCUCUUUCAGGCUUUAAACCCGAUCAUUUUAUUUUUUUAGGUUUUUUUGUUUUGUUUUAAGAGCAAUAUAGGAGUUGAUAUGUAGUCCCCAGGCCUCUUUGUAUUCUACUAUGUGUAUGGGCCAAAGCACUCAUGAUUUUAAA